UACGUAGGGGGCAAGCGUUGUCCGGAAUCAUUGGGCGUAAAGCGCGUGUAGGCGGCUCGGUAAGUCUGCUGUGAAAGUCCAGGGCUCAACCCUGGGAUGCCGGUGGAUACUGUCGAGCUCGAGUCCGGAAGAGGCGAGUGGAAUUCCAGGUGUAGCGGUGAAAUGCGUAGAUAUCUGGAGGAACACCGGUGGCGAAGGCGACAUCCUGGACCGGUAUUGACGCUGAGGCGCGAAAGCCAGGGGAGCAAACGGG
rnacentral:rRNA from 1 species